UGUUUCCAUAUGUCCAUCAGAACAAAAGGUCUGGACGAUUCCAAGAAGAAUCGGAAAAGGAAUACAAGGACAAAAAGGAUCUACACGGUGGCUUACAAAUGGAGAACUUUGUUUUGAUGGAGAAAGAAUUAUAGUUGGAGCACAAGAUCAGGGACAUCUAACAAAUGGUUUAAAAAAAAUGGCAGGGAUCUCACAAAAUGAUCAAUUC